UUUUCCCUGCCUGGUUCGCGAAAGUCAUAGAUUCCUUGAACCAAUGAUCUGUUGCAGGUUGCGGAAGUUUGUAGUGCUGGCGUGAGCGUCACUCUGUCUGAUGAACCCAAAGCGCUACUAACCGCGACCACCUUGAACCUCACGGUUCAGGAUGCCGGCUUAGCGGCUGAGGCGGGGACCCA
rfam:Pandoraea pnomenusa strain RB-44, complete genome.